CACACACACACACACACACACACACACAGGCAGAGGGAGAAGCAGGCUCCAUGCAAGGAGCCCGAUGCGGAACUCGAUCCCAGGACUCUGGGAUCACAUACUGAGCCAAAGGCAGACGCUCAACCACUGAGCCACCAGGCGUCCCUUAAGCCCUGUUUCUAACCACGUGCCCACAGUUAAUCUCUCUGAGCCUCAGUGUUUAUGAAACGGGUAUAAUAAAAAUGCCCACCCUUACAGUUAAGUGAUUAAAUGGAGUGAUGCAUGAAGACAGCUGUGCCCCAUGCCCAGCUCAUGGCGAGAACUCAGUGCAUGCUCUAAUACGAAGGCAUUAAUAUUACAAGUCAGCAAACAUUGUGAUUCUAUGGUAGGAGCCAUAUCCAUGUAUCUCACUUAAAAAAAAAAUCACAAUAACCCUGGCCGGGGAGGUUGUUAUUGUAUCUUUAUUUUGUACAUAAGGAAACCAAGGCUUAGGGAGGGGCAUGGCAUAGCCAAGUGAAACCCUGGGAGUUUGCUAGAGCCCCCAGUGUGACCCUCCCACUGCAUCCACCUGAGCCCUGGUUCAUGGCUUGCAGGACUCCUGGGGGUGGGCCGUGUACUGAAGCAGCCCUGGCUGGAGAGGUGGACUUGAGGAGGUCGGUUGAGUCAUCCAAAGCACCAGGCUGUUACUGAUGCUUCUGGAGGGCCCGCCCUCUGGCAAUAUGAAUGUGUUGGUUCCUGAGGACUGAAAGCCUCAAGCAUGUGCGGCCCUCAAACCUCAGAAAGGGUUUGGCUGCUGUGGCUUUUCUGGCAAUAAAUGCUGUUGAUUUAUUUUUCAAGCCAAGUGGCUAGUUGAGCACACCAGCUACAACCUGCUAUUAGAAGCUCCUCACUGUGGUGUACGUGGAGGGCUUGGAGGAGAGCCCCCAAGGGUGGUGGGAUCCUAGCAUUGCUCUCUUCUUUCCUCCAGGUUGGCACGUGGCUGGAGUAGGGAACACACAGUGAGCGUCUCUUCGUGGCAGGAUUGUGCAGAUCCCCCUCGGAGCUCAUCUGAGACUUAAUGUGUUGUUCUGGAAUCAGCUCAGAGCAGAAUCAUCAGCAAAUACAAGGUGGCUGCAUACCCCCUGGGCAGAGGUUCUCCUAGAGAGAGGCUCCCGCAGGUGGGUUGGAAAAAAUCAAUUAAGGGUUUGUGUAUUUAGCAUUUUGCACUCAACAUACUUGAGGGUGAAGGGUAAUCCUUUGAAAUCAGACACAUCUUGUUGGUUAAUGUUGCUGUAAGUUUUU
rnacentral:lncRNA from 12 species